GACGAGGGGUCCUAGCGUUGCUCGGAAUUAUUGGGCGUAAAGCGGGUGUAGGUGGCUUUGUAAGUCAGAAGUGAAAGCCCCAGGCUUAACCUGGGAAGUGCUUUUGAUACUGCUUAGCUUGAGUGUGGGAGAGGAUAGUAGAAUUCCUGGUGUAGUGGUGAAAUACGUAGAUAUCAGGAGGAAUACCGGUGGCGAAGGCGGCUAUCUGGCCCAACACUGACACUCAGAACCCGAAAGCGUGGGGGAUCAAACAGG
rnacentral:rRNA from 1 species